CACGAACGCUGGCGGCAGGCUUAACACAUGCAAGUCGAGCGCCCCGCAAGGGGAGCGGCAGACGGGUGAGUAACGCGUGGGAAUCUACCCAUCUCUACGGAAUAACGCAUGGAAACGUGUGCUAAUACCGUAUACGUCCUUCGGGAGAAAGAUUUAUCGGAGAUGGAUGAGCCCGCGUUGGAUUAGCUAGUUGGCGGGGUAAAGGCCUACCAAGGCGACGAUCCAUAGCUGGUCUGAGAGGAUGAUCAGCCACACUGGGACUGAGACACGGCCCAGACUCCUACGGGAGGCAGCAGUGGGGAAUAUUGGACAAUGGGCGCAAGCCUGAUCCAGCCAUGCCGCGUGAGUGAUGAAGGCCCUAGGGUUGUAAAGCUCUUUCACCGGUGAAGAUAAUGACGGUAACCGGAGAAGAAGCCUCGGCUAACUUCGUGCCAGCCGCCGCCGUAAUAC
rnacentral:rRNA from 1 species